rnacentral:rRNA from 1 species
GACGAACCGUGCGAACGUUGUUCGGAAUCACUGGGCUUAAAGGGCGCGUAGGCGGGCUAUCAAGUCCGGGGUGAAAUCCUCCAGCUCAACUGGAGAACGGCCUCGGAUACUGAUGGUCUCGAGGAGGAUAGGGGCACACGGAACUGUGGGUGGAGCGGUGAAAUGCGUUGAUAUCCAUAGGAACUCCGGUGGCGAAAGCGGUGUGCUGGAUCCUUUCUGACGCUGAUGCGCGAAAGCCAG